GGCUGUUAGUUACAGAGAGAGACCAGUGACAAGCUGUUAUUCCAGUUUUGGUUUUGUAUUGUUUUAUUUGCUUUUAAUUGCUGUAGGAUCCCACUGCUGUUGCAACCCACACUGGGCAUCUUAACGGUCAGAAAUCCCACGAAUUUUUAUUUUAUUUUACUUAAGACAGAGGGCAUGGAAAACAUUUUAACUGAUCCUGAUCUCGGAGCAAAAUCCUACUAUGAUGAGCGAGGCUUCCUCUCAGGCAGGCAACAUCUGAAGCGUGCAUUUCGGCCUCCCUUCCCCAGCCCAGCAAUAAGGCCUUGGAGGUGGUGAUUACAACAGAAAGAAGUACUUUUUUUGUGGGGGGGUACGAAUACCCCUAAACAUUUUGUGAAUCUGUACUUUUGUCCAUUUACUGUAUUUAUUUUUCCCGAUUUGGCCUGUCAAAUGGUGAUUUUCUGUAGUCAAAAUGAGAGUAUCCCUAAACAAGAUAAAAAGCACUGCCUGAAAGUAAAUCCCGUUGCGCACAGUGGAGCACCUAAAAUCGGAUUAUUGUAUUAUCACCAUCGCCCUGAGGCUUCCCCCAUCUUAGCCCGACGGAGGCUGCUCUCAGGAUGGGUGUGAAGUAAGGAGCACCAAGCCUACAAAAUUUGCAAGACUGAGUUGUCCACGAGUAGAAUUAGAGAACUAGAAAAAAUGGAGGAAGGGGGAAAAAGAAGAGGGGAUUGCUAAAUACUCUUCUCUGCAACCCCGGAAAGUUGGGAAAUCUUCUGGAACAGCGUUAAGAGAUCCAAUUACCUGAUGCAAGACCCAGGGGAGCCUGCAUUUGGGGCAUCAAGGAGCCUGCUUUUACACCUGCUUCACACUAGUCUCCUUCCUGGGAUCCUUAUAGAAGAGGAACUAUGGUAGGAUAGGCCAGAAGACAGCACAGUAAUAAACUCAAACUUGUGAAACUUA